GACGAACCGUGCGAACGUUGUUCGGAUUCACUGGGCUUAAAGGGUGCGUAGGCGGGUCUUUUAAGUCAGGGGUGAAAUCCUGGAGCUCAACUCCAGAACUGCCUUUGAUACUGAAGAUCUUGAGUUCGGGAGAGGUGAGUGGAACUGCGAGUGUAGAGGUGAAAUUCGUAGAUAUUCGCAAGAACACCAGUGGCGAAGGCGGCUCACUGGCCCGAUACUGACGCUGAGGCACGAAAGCGUGGGGGAGCAAACAGG
rnacentral:rRNA from 1 species